rnacentral:rRNA from 1 species
AGCGUUAAUCGGAAUUACUGGGCGUAAAGCGUGCGCAGGCGGUGAUGUAAGACAGUUGUGAAAUCCCCGGGCUCAACCUGGGAACUGCAUCUGUGACUGCAUCGCUGGAGUGCGGCAGAGGGGGAUGGAAUUCCGCGUGUAGCAGUGAAAUGCGUAGAUAUGCGGAGGAACACCGAUGGCGAAGGCAAUCCCCUGGGCCUGCACUGACGCUCAUGCACGAAAGCGUGGGGAGCAAACAGGAUUAGAUACCCUGGUAGUCCACGCCGUAAACGAUGUCUACUAGCCGUUGGGGUCCUUGAGACUUUAGUGGCGCAGUUAACGCGAUAAGUAGACCGCCUGGGGAGUACGGCCGCAAGGUUAAAACUCAAAUGAAUUGACGGGGGCCCGCACAAGCGGUGGAGCAUGUGGUUUAAUUCGAUGCAACGCGAAGAACCUUACCAAGGCUUGACAUAUACGAGAACGGGCCAGAAAUGGUCAACUCUUUGGACACUCGUAAACAGGUGGUGCAUGGUUGUCGUCAGCUCGUGUCGUGAGAUGUUGGGUUAAGUCCCGCAACGAGCGCAACCCUCGUUCCAUGUUGCCAGCACGUAAUGGUGGGGACUCAUGGGAGACUGCCGGGGUCAACUCGGAGGAAGGUGAGGACGACGUCAAAUCAUCAUGCCCCUUAUGUCUUGGGCUUCACGCAUGCUACAAUGGCCGGUACAAUGGGUUGCGAUACUGUGAGGUGGAGCUAAUCCCAAAAAGCCGGUCUCAGUUCGGAUUGGGGUCUGCAACUCGACCCCAUGAAGUCGGAGUCGCUAGUAAUCGCAGAUCAGCAACGCUGCGGUGAAUACGUUCCCGGGUCUUGUACACACCGCCCGUCAAGUCAUGAAAGUCGGUAACACCUGAAGCCGGUGGCCCAACCCUUGUGGAGGGAGCCGUCGAAGGUGGGAUCGGUAAUUAGGACUAAGUCGUAACAAGGUAGCCGUACCGGAAGGUGCGGCUGGAUCACCUCCUU